rnacentral:rRNA from 1 species
CACUCCUGCGGGAGGCAGCAGUGGGGAAUUUUGGACAAUGGGCGAAAGCCUGAUCCAGCAAUGCCGCGUGAGUGAAGAAGGCCUUCGGGUUGUAAAGCUCUUUUGUCAGGGAAGAAACGGUGAGAGCUAAUAUCUCUUGCUAAUGACGGUACCUGAAGAAUAAGCACCGGCUAACUACGUGCCAGCAGCCGCGGUAAUACGUAGGGUGCAAGCGUUAAUCGGAAUUACUGGGCGUAAAGCGUGCGCAGGCGGUUUUGUAAGUCUGAUGUGAAAUCCCCGGGCUCAACCUGGGAAUUGCAUUGGAGACUGCAAGGCUAGAAUCUGGCAGAGGGGGGUAGAAUUCCACGUGUAGCAGUGAAAUGCGUAGAUAUGUGGAGGAACACCGAUGGCGAAGGCAGCCCCCUGGGUCAAGAUUGACGCUCAUGCACGAAAGCGUGGGGAGCAAACAGGAUUAGAAACCCUUGUAGUCCCAUGAU